GCCGCUACUCGUUAACUCGCUUUUCUUUUCUUCGCACCUUAUCCUGACUCACUGUCGCUUGAUUCCAUAAGAAUUCCAAGCGAUCCUACAUAUUUAUCUGAAUUUCUAUCUCUAUAGACACAAUCGGAGGAACAGCACAUCAGCUCCUAUUUGUUUUAUUUCCAUGUUUUAUACAAUUUUGCACGUUGCGAGAAUUCUGUGCAGCUUUGCAUCUUUAAAUGUCGCAUAGAGUCCAAAUUACAUGGGAACAUGACUGUAGCUCCUUUUUGCUAUGGAAUGUUCCACAAAUUAGGAUAAUGGGGUUUGGAAGAAGUUGCGACGAUCAGGACACGUUUGGAAUUUUAGAAUCCAAGUUACAUGAUAUUUGGUGUGGCUGCUUUGCGUUGUUGAAUAUUUCACAAACUGGAGAUGUUAGUGCGAAUUUUCAGGAAAUUGAAGUAAUUAAGAGAUAUGGAAGUUGGUAGAGGAUAUUGGACACUAGUCUGUUGCUGCUUAUUGCUGUGCAACUUUUGACAAGUUGAGAAUAUUAACGUCAUCAGUGUCGCUUCUAUCAAUGAGUCGUAGGAACAUUGGAUGUGAGGUAGUAGAACCCUUGUUUUAUGGCUGCUUUUGUUACCGCCUGAUAAGUAGUCUAAUAGAUCUUAUUCUAUGACUAUUUCUACCGUAAUCUGACAAGAAAAUAUUAAUAAGGAAGUUAAGAUGAAACUUGAUGCUAUACGAAGAAGAACAAUGUAAAGGAAUUUUAUAUGAACAAACGAUAUGAAAGAAACACAAAUUUCGAACAGUCUUGAUUCUCGUACCUGGUGCUCACUAAGAUCAUCGUCUCUAUCUAAAAUCUAGGUCAGUUACAUUGAAAAAGUUGUAACACAAGUGACAAGGAAAAAGAGCAAAUUCCUUUUUCUUUAAAGAACCAUCUUUUUCUGCAAAUAUCCAUUUUGCUAGGAAUAAUUUGAUGUGUAACGAUAGAUGGUAUGUAAAAGAUACUGCAAACAUUGAGAUAACAAUCGGCAUACUUCGGAAACGUAAUAUUUACGGCAGGAGAAAGAGAGAUAUUCGCCACGGGAACGUUAGAGAAAUAUACAAUAAGAUGGGCCACGAUUUUGUAACACCGUAGUAACGGCGUGGAUUUUUAGAAAGAAACCGGAACGCAGCGAGAAUAUAUCUAUAAACGAGCCGAGAGAGCAAUGAAAGUCGAAGCCUGUAAGAAAUUUCAGAGAAACCUGAGAACUCUCUACGCGAGAUUUUAUUUCAUGGAACGUGAAAUACAGGCCUUGGAGGAGGUUCAAGGAUCUUUCUCGUUCAAUCUUUAAAUCCACUCUGUUUGUUUUAUUAACGCCUUUAUAAAUAUUCCAAUUUUUAUGUGGCUCAAACUUAAUCAAACAUAAAUUAACGCUAUUAUUUAUCAUGUUGUUAGAGUUGGUUCGUUUCACUUUCAUCUAAAUCUGCUCCAUCUUAUUAUUUUUUUUUUCUAAAUAUUCAAGUUUACAUGGUCUAAAUCCAAUCUCGAUUUUUACUCAAGCAUAAUCAAACCUGAAUUAAGCUAUUCGUUGUAAUAUCGUUGGAAUUGUUUAAUAAUAUUUCAAUUUCGUCCACAUCAACUUUUUACUCUUCUACAUUUAUUGUCAAGAAUGUUUUUCAGAUGUUGAAAAUUUGGUAUCAAACCUAAGCCCAAACUAAAUUAAACCAAGCUAUUUGUCAUGAUAUUGUUAGCGUUGGUUUAUUUCAGUUGAUGAUUCGCUAGCUUUUUCAAAAUGCAGCGUUUGAAUCAUGCUUCCAUAUUUUUUUACUUAACUCAAACUUGAAUUGGUUUACUUCAAACCGUAUCAAACUUCGUCAAACUUAGCCUAACUGUUGAUCGCUAUCUCUUAAAAUUGAUAUACUCUUUUAACCUGAUUGAAAGUUUGAUGGGUAUAAUUUUGGAUGAAAAUUUAGGAGUGUUUGAAUAAGGAGCUAAAAAUUUGUCAAUAGCGGUCUGAAUCAUGUCGAUGACAAUGCGCCACGUAUUUUGGUAUUCGUUUACAUUGUGCUACACAGGAAAAUAUGUUUUCUGAGCGAUGAACCAGCGAGAGAAAUACCAAAAUAAAUUUAUUACUCAUACGUUUUGGACUAAUUCCCGGGCCCUAAUGGCAUUCGCGAAUUACAGCAACGCGAUACCAUAAUUUUUAAAUUAACACCAGUCGAAUUGGCACUAGUUCAAUUUUUAACAAAAUCUUUCCCCCAACUUUUUCCUCCAAAAGUAAACUUUCUCCUCUAUCAUCAUAUCAUUAAUUAUAAUUUUUAUUCUAGAAUGAAAACGAAGAAAUCAUUCAGGGAAGUAACUACAUAUAUUAAGAGACUAUAAUUCAGAAAAAUCUUAAGGCCAAGAGAUUCCAAUUGAAGGAAGAAAAUCCAACACACAGUCAGCAUAGGACAACAUGGAAGAACUAACUAGCCACUUGGAAACGAAGAAAAAUGACGUUUCAAGAGAUAACUUGAUAACUACACAUUUAUAAAAAAUUUCAAUAUGCAAAAGUAUACAAAGUACAUAGACUGUACGGAAAUAUCGAGAAGCAUGCUCAAAAUAUCAAAAGCGAAGAAGCUCUGGUAUUAUUUAAAUGAUACGAAUACAAAAUUCUACUUUGGUUCCAUUACUCUACACCUGUUCGUAAAGAUACGAAUUUACUUAAAAAUCCACAAUCUAUUCAGUUGUCAUUGGGUUGUAUUGACAAAAUCCGCAAUCACUUAGUUACCAACCCAAUAAUAAUAAUAUAAAUUCCACAUAGAGAUGACAAUUUAAAUUAAUCCUGAAGAGGAGAACUUUCAAGGAGCAACAUCAAAGUAUGAACCAACCAGCUCAAACGAUAAAUUUUAAAAGAAAGCUUCCAGACAAAUAAGUGCGUACAUUAAGAGUGCAUAAUUAUAUGAAUUUUGAAGAGGAGAAAUUCCAAGGGCUGAGACAGUUGGACGAAAAGAGUCCAGCACAAUGGCUUCCUGAAUGCUGAGCUUGCGUGGGCGUAACCGCGGUGCGAUCAUAUACUCGGCGAGCUUUUUACAUAAAGCCACGUGCACGCAUAUAAGUCUUUCUAAAAAUAGAAAUUUGAGCAAGAUACUAUUAAUAGUGGAUGAGUGUGUUGCCACAGUGGAUGUGUGCGUGGCUCUCACUCGGUUUCGCUCGCUGCUCGUUACCGACCAGCUUUUCGGAAAGACCGCCCCUAACCAAAUGAAAGAAAAACGCAAUUCGAUCCUUAGCUACCACUAGCCCAUUUUCGCGCCGAGAUAAAAGUCCAACUAGCCUUCCUCCUAUAGUUUCGACCUUGUUCCUCGUUUCAUCGUUAUGAGACACCAAAAUUAUAAAUUUGAUCCUUUCGAUAUGAACAUCGCGGAUGAUAAACGUAAACGUCGAAUUUUCAUAGAUCUUUCUGAUGUUCGAUCGAUGUUCCGAUGAUGUUCUGUUACUCGAUAGUUGACGACAAGAAUAAUAUUUGUUGAAGUCGAAAAAGUGACAGGAAAAAUAUUUUUUUUUUUUUUUUCGUAAACGACUCGAGAUAUUUUUGAUAUUACCAGAAGGAUGAAGAGUUACAGAUUUAUUCUUCGCUCGAAUCGGAUUUACGAUUUUGCUCGAGUUUAGAUAGUCGUUAAAUAAAUAUAGGUAAUUAAGUAAAAAUACGUGAUGGAAAAUUCGCCAUCGCGAUUUUCGAAUUGGAAAUAAACCGUAGUAUUUUAUUUUAGAUAGAAAGUUGAGUCUCAAUUUUUACUUAGGCCAGUUUAUGAUCUCGCUUCUCUUUCGUUUCUUUCAAAUGGAUUUUAUCUUUUUAAGUGUUUUUUUUUUUUUUAAUUUUUUAUUCUAUAGGAAGAAACUCACACGACUAUUUAGAUAUAUCACGGGUGAUCCCUUAUGAAACAUUCAACCCUAACGUUCUCCGUUGCUAUUUUAACGCGUGGACAAUAAAAAAUGUAUAAGUACACGUAUAUAAUUAGAACGUUGUCCGGAGACACGUGACACGUCACCGCGAAGCGUUGUCUCGCUGAUUGACAACGAAAUUCGAUUAUGCGCCUGAGAAUGGAUGUCCGUUCAAUCGCGUCAAAAAUAGCGGAAACCACAGCAAAGAGGAAGUGCUUAAAAAUUCAUCGCUACACGAAAAGUGCUCGCUUUAUAUAUAUUUAACCGAGAGGUGCAACGAUCUCGUCGUGUAUCCAUUAUGCAACGCGACUGCAGAGAAAAUUCAUGAGAUGUUCAAUAAAAAGCUUAAAAAAAUCAA